CGAAUGGAAGAAUUCAGAGCGGAUUUUCAGAGACCAGCAAGAUUUUCUGUCCAAUGAUGAUGAGUGGCUUAUGAACCGGUUCCGAUUAUCAAGAGCUGUUCUCUUGGAUCUCUGUGCUGUAGUGGGCCCAGCUUUACAGAGAAGCACCUGCAGAAACCAAGCCGUGCCUGCCCCACUGCAACUCCUUGGUAACCUCGUUAAUAGCGUUGAUGGUGUCUCUUUGCGUUUGCAGGACUGCAUCUGUGAGGACACGGGCGCUGGAGGGUUGUGCUGCAGCACCACCGACCCCGCUGGAACACGCAGCGACUAAAAACAAUAGAAAAUGUCACAAUUGUUUCUGUAAAUGCAUGUUUAAACACAACAUGAAUGCAUUUGGUUUACUCUUUUCAAAAGAGGGAAUACUAAUUACAUACCUGGAUCAUCCGGUGCAUCUUGCAUGUCUGUGUCCCCCUCCACCUCCUGUCACUACUCCACUCAGGAGGGAUUCCCCUAUAAUACCUGCAAGUUGCUCAUCAAGUGGGUUGAGGUCCGGUGUCCCCUUUCCCCCGCCCGUGGCACAAACACUUUGUCUGUGUAAGGCUAUGCGCCUUUUGGCCUCCACUUUUAUGUUUUUAUUUCUGAGAGGGUCUGACCUUCUGAGCCAGCAGCAUUCACAGCGUCCGCUACAUGCUGCCACUCUAAUGCCUUUUUGGCAUUUGUAAUGCCCACACCGUGUCCACCAAACAAUAUAUUUUUUCUUGCUUCAACCUCCCAUACAAGAACUUCCAUUUCACACUGGGUGAAAUUUCGUUUUUUAGCCUUUCUGUCGGGAUUUGCCGUCAUUGUCGUCAUGCAGUCAGUAUGGAUGAAUAUUAAUUAGGGGCGUUUCACUGACCAUUUAUAGGCAACCAUGCAGCAAGAGAGUGAUCCAAAAAACACAAGCAAUUUUACAUCAGAAUGGCUGAAAAGCAGCAAAUAUAAACUUUUUGGAAUGGCCUAGUCAAAGUCCAGACCUAAACCCAAUUGAGAUGUAGCAGUACCUGAAACGAAGAGUUCAUGUGCGAAGACCCACAAAUGUCUCUGAGUUAAAGCAGUUCUGCAUGGAAGAGUGGGCCAAAAUUACUUCACAGCGAUGUGAGAGACUGAUCAACAACUACAAGAAAGCGUUUGGUUGCAGUCAUUGCAGCUAAAGGUGGCGCAACCAGUUAUUACUUUUUUACACUGGGGUAUUGGGUAUUUUAUAACUUGGCUAAUUAAAUAAAUGAAAUACGUAUGCACGUGUUAUUUGUUUCCUUAGGUUUCCUUUAUCUAAUAUUAGGUUAUGUUUGAAUAUCUGAUAACAUUCAGUGUGAAAAACAGGCAAAUAUAGAGAAAACCAGAAAGGGGCAAAUACUUUUUCACGGCACUGUAGCUAGCUAGCUAACAUUAUGCAUAGUCUUUGGAUGUCAUGUGGGCCCACAUUCUCUGUCCAUAAUGCCCCUUAAUGGGUUUUUCUGAGACAGUUGUCCCAUUUGGUUUAAACAAUUUCCCAACCUUUUCCACAGUGAUUUUGGCUCAGUAACACAAAUGGGACCAUGGGGAACACCAACACUGGUAUGGGAACAGGUGGGACAGCCGCUCCAAGGAGGGCGACAUGCUCAAAAUUUUCAUGGACAUUCCUGAGGAUUCUGAUAUGUUCCAUGAAUAGGAUAUCAAGGCUCCCCUAGAGAAAGAGGAGUACCUUGCAUGGCGUCAGAACCUGGAGGAUCAUAAAGGGCACACUGGACCGCCCCACUGUUUUCCGCUGGACUGGAACUGGAAAGGAGGUCUCUCUGUCUGGAGAUUCCCCCAACCAGGAGGUGGGUUAGCAGCCCUGGGAAGGGCAUCCUACUCAUAACAUUAUUGUUGACCUGCCUAUGGUGCAAUUUGUGAGUGUGUAUAUGCACUUAUACUGAUGCUCCCCUUCAGGCAGAUCCACAAUCGCCACAAAGUUGUUGUGACUGAAAGAUCGAACACACUGACAGUAAGCAUAAGUUCUAUGUGGACGGAAUGUUUACUUAGUCAUUCACGCCUAUAUGGAUGAAAAAUAGUUUGAGUCCACUGUUAGAUUGCUGAUUUUGUGGUCCCCCAGCCUGUUGUAACCAACCAGCUAGGCACAGUCAACAACGUCAUCCAAGUGAAGAAGACUGACUUUGAGGUGUUUGAUGCAGUUAUGGUGGACUCACAGAAGUGCUCUGAUAUAUCAGGUCAGUGUCCACAACCUGUUUACCCAUGCGUAACACCAGAGCCGUGUAUUAAGAGAGUUGGGCCAUUGAGCUUUCUGCGUUAAUGAUGCAUCUGUAACAUUCUAUGGCAGCCAUGUUAGCACCCCAUUAAUAUUUCAUGCUAUGUAACUGAAUGUCUAGAAUUAGUACAACAUUCUAAAAGUUGGCCCAACUCUCUAAGUACAGGCUCCACAUAACACUAAUGAGUGUAACCAAGUUAAGCUACUGUAUUGGAAAAUGUCUCCAUGAUGCUAGAAAGUUAGAUGGUAACUGGUAAUAGCAAAAUAUUAACUAGACUUGAUGCAAAAUAUAAACUAUAAACUUGAUGUUCAAUCUCGCAUUGUAUGUACCAUCUGUUUGUGAGUUAGACCUGUCCAGCUCCCCUCCCGGGCCGUACCAUCAGGAUCCUACAUUCCCAAGCAGGAAGGAUAAGUCUCUGCCCAUUCUGUCACUUCACCUGCUACAGGUCAUCCUAAACAAGCACACAGGAAUCUCUGAGUACAAGAUGACAACAACUGAAUCCAAAGCCUCAUAGGAAUAUCAACGAUGAAGACAUGAUAGAGCUGUUCAUGUCAUUGACAGUAAUGUGCAUGCACUGGAGUAAGAUGUUUUCGCUUUCCCUCAUCAGUGUGACCCUGCAUUGCUUCCAGAACCCAACCAUGUCAUGCUCAAUCACCUUUACUCCCUGUCCAUUAAGGAUGGUGUGAUGGUGCUUAGUGCGACUCAUCGCUACAAGAAGAAGUAUGUCACCACCCUGAUGUAUAAGCCUGUCUGACCAGAGGCCUGUGGCUGUAUAAGCCUGUCUGACCAGAGGCCUGUGGCUUCUCAGCCUCUGCCUUCCCACCACAGACACCACUGCUUCACACAGCACAGCCUACACCGUUGUACCUGUAUAUACAGUACCAGUCAAAAGUUUGGGCACACCUACUCAUUCAAGGGGUUUUCUUUAUUUUUACUAUAUUCUACAUUUUAGAUUAAUAGUGAAGACAUAAACUAUGAAAUAACACAUAUGGAAUCAUGUGGUAACCAAAAAGUGUCGAACAAAUCAAAAUAUAUUUUAUAUUUGAGAUUCUUUCAAAUAAUUUGCAGCAAUUUGACCAUGAAGGCUUAAUUCAUGCAGUCUCCUCUGAACAGUUGAUGUUGAGUGGUGUCUGUUACUUGAACUCUGUGAAGCAUUUAUUUGGGCUGCAUUUUCUGAGGCUGGUAACUCUAAUGAACUUAUCCUCUGCAGUAGAGUUAACUCUGGGUCUUCUUUUCCUGUGGCGGUCCUCAUGAGAGCCAGUUUCAUCAUAGCGCUUGAUGGGUUUUUGCGACUGCACUUGAAUAUGCUUUCAAAGUUCUUGACAUUUUGUGCAUUUUGUGUAUACCACCCCUACCUUGUCACAACGCAACUGAUUGGCUCAAACGCAUUAAGAAAGAAAGAAAUUCCACAAAUUAACAUUUAACAAGGCACAACAAGCUGAUUGAGAGAAUGCCAAGAGUGUGCAAAGCUGUCAUCAAGGCAAAAGGUGGCUACUUUGAAUAUUCUCAAACAAAACACUUUUUUGGUUACUACAUGAUUCCAUAUGUGUUAUCUCAUAGUUUUGAUGUCUUCACUAU